AGUGAACGCUGGCGGUAGGCCUAACACAUGCAAGUCGAACGGCAGCACAGUAAGAGCUUGCUCUUACGGGUGGCGAGUGGCGGACGGGUGAGGAAUACAUCGGAAUCUACUUUUUCGUGGGGGAUAACGUAGGGAAACUUACGCUAAUACCGCAUACGACCUACGGGUGAAAGCAGGGAAUCUUCGGACCUUGCGCGAUUGAAUGAGCCGAUGUCGGAUUAGCUAGUUGGCGGGGUAAAGGCCCACCAAGGCGACGAUCCGUAGCUGGUCUGAGAGGAUGAUCAGCCACACUGGAACUGAGACACGGUCCAGACUCCUACGGGAGGCAGCAGUGGGGAAUAUUGGACAAAGGGCGCAAGCCUGAUCCAGCCAUACCGCGUGGGUGAAGAAGGCCUUCGGGUUGUAAAGCCCUUUUGUUGGGAAAGAAAAGCAGCAGGUUAAUACCCCGCUGUUCUGACGGUACCCAAAGAAUAAGCACCGGCUAACUUCGUG
rnacentral:rRNA from 1 species